CCGGGCUUUGUGAGGCGGCAGCGCGACGCCGGGUGGCCCAGCAGCGGGCGGGUGCCGGGGGCGGAAGCGCGGCCACAAGAGGGGGCGAUUCACCGCCGCCCCCCGUGGGACCUGGGUCCUCUACGCGGGACCGCAGGGGCCCCGAGUCGCGGGUUGGGCAAGGUCGCCCGCUCCGGGUCGCUCGGAAGGGUCAUUUCACGGACCGGUCGUCUGGGGCCAGUGCGUCUUGCCCCGCACGGAAGACCCCUCGCUUCGAGGACAGGAAAGCUUUUAAAGAACAAAGAUUUCUAACAAGAGAGAGAAUAUCUUCCCGAUUCGACUCCCAUAUGUCAAGAGACUCAGAUGUGACUCAUAUUUGCCUGCCAGGAGGAGGAAAAAGAAAUACACUGUCCAGGAGCAACUCCUUAGUGGGUACCCACCAGAAGUGGUCUCCAAACAAGGGUCUCGCUGAUCCCAAAGAUGAAGAGACAAAACCGGCCUUGCUUGCCCCCAAGGUGAGACUUCGGAUCUGUGGUGAGGGAGGGAAAAAUUCCAGCAGACCCAAGAGGAAGGCUACAGAAGAAAGGACAGAAGCGUGGAGAGAAAUUCUAAGCAGGAGGCUGGGGAAGAAGGAAGAGCUUCAGGUCACUGGGUCACCCCACCAGGAGAUAGUCCCCUUGUGGCCUUGAGACUUAUGCAAUGGGCAGAUGCAAUCUGGGUACCUAAGGCAAGGAUUGCCCUUAUUCUGGCCAUGACAUUUAACACCUAAUUGCAGCAAUAACCCCUCUUUUCCACCUGGAGAAAGCUUCCUGGCCCCUCUUUUUCACUUGUGGGUAAGUCUGGCCAAGAGCAGGGUGAAGAAACCCAUAGUCUAACACAAAACCACAUUUUUUAUUUUUAUUUUUU
rnacentral:lncRNA from 1 species